UACGGGGGGAGCAAGCGUUGUUCGGAUUUACUGGGCGUAAAGGGCGCGUAGGCGGCCACCGCAAGUCGACUGUGAAAUCUUCGGGCUUAACCCGGAAAGGUCAGCCGAUACUGCGGGGCUAGGGUGCAGAAGGGGCAACUGGAAUUCUCGGUGUAGCGGUGAAAUGCGUAGAUAUCGAGAGGAACACCUGCGGCGAAGGCGGGUUGCUGGGCUGACACUGACGCUGAUGCGCGAAAGCUAGGGGAGCGAACGGG
rnacentral:rRNA from 1 species